UAGGCAUCUUAUCUCCGGGUUGACUUAGUCUUUCUUUUCUAAUGAUGUUGUGAUAUAUCACAAACGCCGAUGAUGGCGGCCAUGCAAUUGCAGACGAACAGAAACCCAAGAGAAACCGGUGGAAUUUCUGGAAAUUGGCCUCGAUCCUGAUACUGAUCCUAUUCUGGAAAGCUAAGAAGAUCCCAUCACACGAAAAACCAAAAAGACCAGUUUCUCCUUGUGUGGGGUGGGUAUGUUCUAGCCUUCAACGGGCUUGUAAAUUAAAGUGAAACACUACAUCAGCUCUGGUAGCGGGGACUUCUGCUGAAAGUUCGGUUUUGUGAUGUUCUUCUGCCUUCAUCACCCCAAAGACUUCCACACCCAGUAAUGGCGUGGGGAUAUGAAUUAUCUGGAAGCCCGCCACCACUGAAACAGUGGUGAUCCGGGAAAAAGGGAGCGAACGAUUGAACAAGCUACGAGCGGAGA
rnacentral:sRNA from 1 species